rnacentral:rRNA from 1 species
GACGAACGCUGGCGGCGUGCUUAACACAUGCAAGUCGAACGGAAAGGCCCUGCUUUUGUGGGGUGCUCGAGUGGCGAACGGGUGAGUAACACGUGAGUAACCUGCCCUUGACUUUGGGAUAACUUCAGGAAACUGGGGCUAAUACCGGAUAGGAGCUCCUGCUGCAUGGUGGGGGUUGGAAAGUUUCGGUGGUUGGGGAUGGACUCGCGGCUUAUCAGCUUGUUGGUGGGGUAGUGGCUUACCAAGGCUUUGACGGGUAGCCGGCCUGAGAGGGUGACCGGCCACAUUGGGACUGAGAUACGGCCCAGACUCCUACGGGAGGCAGCAGCGGGGAAUAUUGCACAAUGGGCGGAAGCCUGAUGCAGCAACGCCGCGUGCGGGAUGACGGCCUUCGGGUUGUAAACCGCUUUCGCCUGUGACGAAGCGUGAGUGACGGUAAUGGGUAAAGAAGCACCGGCUAACUACGUG